UACUCUAUAGACUAUGGAUGCUGGAAUGCUUUGUAGUCGAAAGGUCCGCCGCCGUAGGAUGGGUCUGCGGCCGAUUAGGUUGUUGUUGGGGUAACGGCCCAACAAGCCUGUAAUCGGUACGGGUUGUGGGAGCAAGAGCCCGGAGAUGGAUUCUGAGACACGAAUCCAGGCCCUACGGGGCGCAGCAGGCGCGAAAACUUUACAAUGCGGGAAACCGUGAUAAGGGAACUCCGAGUGCCCGUAAAAUCGGGCUGUCCAUCUGUUUAAAUAACAGGUGAAGAAAGGGCCGGGCAAGACCGGUGCCAGCCGCCGCGGUAAUACCGGCGGCUCGAGUGGUGGCCACUAUUACUGGGCUUAAAGCGUUCGUAGCUGGUUUGUUAAGUCUCUGGGGAAAUCUUCCGGCUUAACCGGAAGGCGUCUCAGGGAUACUGGCAGACUAGGGACCGGGAGAGGUGAGGGGUACUCCAGGGGUAGGAGUGAAAUCCUGUAAUCCUUGGGGGACCACCUGUGGCGAAGGCGCCUCACCAGAACGGCUCCGACAGUGAGGGACGAAAGCUGGGGGAGCAAACCGGAUUAGAUACCCGGGUAGUCCCAGCUGUAAACGAUGCGCGUUAGGUGUAUCGAUGACCACGAGUCAUCGAGGUGCCGAAGAGAAAUCGUGAAACGUGCCGCC
rnacentral:rRNA from 1 species